CUCAGCCAAUGAGAGCCGUAUCAGGACAGAGUCUCAGCGGAUUGGCGGAGCUGACUUCCUGGUGUGGAGGUGGCUCCAGCCCUCUCUGAGCUGCGACCAGAUCUCACUCAUCCCCUCCAAAGUCUGGCAGGGCAAAGCGUUCCCUCUGGACAGGAGGAACUCUCCUCCCAACAGUUUAACACCAUGUCUGAAGAUCAGAAACAUGUUUGAUCCAGUCAUGGAGGUUGGUGAAAACUGGCAUCUGCCAUCCACGGGCCAUCUUGGAGAAGUGUUGUGACAACGACGGUAUCGUCCACAUCGCUGUCGACAAGAACUCCAGAGAGGGCUGUGUCUAUGUGAAGUGUCUGUCAGCAGAACACUCGGGGAAAGCCUUCAAGGCGCUACAUGGCUCCUGGUUCGAUGGUAAGCUGGUGACGGUGAAGUACCUGCGUCUGGACCGCUACCACCAGCGUUUUCCUCAGGCCCAGGGCUGUACCACCUCCCUGAAGCCCUCCAACACCUACAUGAACACCAUGUCCAGACUACGCCACCACACCAGCCCUGAUAGCAGCUCUAACUCUCUAGGCUUCUCCUGAGGGGGGAGGCAGAUUACCCCAGCCUCCUCUCUCUCCCUCACAGAUACCACCGCUACCAACCCAACCAGCUCCUGUGUCACGGUCUCACCUCAACACAGGCCCCCUUCCUUCAGUCUCCCCUUAACAAGCCUCUACUAGAGGUGAUGGCAGCUGGGUGGAACCGUCUGUCUCAACUCACAGGGCUGGGUGGAACCGUCUGUCUCGACUCACAGGGCUGGGUGGAACCGUCUGUCUCCACUCACAGGGCUGGGUGGAACCGUCUGUCUCGACUCACAGGGCUGGGUGGAACCGUCUGUCUCGACUCACAGGGCUGGGUGACCCGUCUGUCUCGACUCACAGGGCUGGGUGACCCGUCUGUCUCGACUCACAGGGCUGGGUGACCCGUCUGUCUCAACUCACAGGGCUGGGUGGAACCGUCUCAACAAACAGGGCUUUUUUUUCUCUUUUAAAAUGGGACUGACUUUUGGUUGUCCACAACCUGUCUAGACCACAGGAGUGGUGGGAGGCUUUAGACUGACAGUCCUGCAGUGUUUUUUGUUGUAAAGACCAAUCAGAGUUUUGAAAACAAAACGAUGAGCUAAACUUUGGAAGACCACUUGAACAACCAAUGGGCUGGGAGAUUGGAGACUAGGGGGAGGUGGUCUGAGCUUUUGUACGAGGAAGCUGGAGAUGUGUGAUUCGCCGGUGCGGUAGACACUAUUUAAUUUUUGUUAUUUUUGUAUUACAAACUUUAUGGAUUUAACAAGGAAACAAAACUUCCAUUUCGUUCUAAUGGCAUAUUUAAACAGAUAUGAGAGAGAAACAACCCCUUCUUUUCUCUUGUCUCCCAUCUCUCUCCCUCCAUAC